UGAGUUCAAGCAAUUCUCCUGCCUCAGCCUCCCAAGUAGCUGGGACUACAGAAUUAAACUUCCGGUCUCCCACCUGAGCAUGGAGUGGAAAUGGGCACAUAAGGUAAUCACAGAAGUUAUGACACCUACACUCUUCCCAGUAUAUGGAUGUACUAGGGAGGAAGAUUCCAUGGGAGAGGUAAAAUCUCUCCCCUAUGCUUCAUUAUAGAAAGAAAAACAGAACACUCUCUUCCUAACAGAACGGACCACUGUCUCAGCAUGUGGGAUGGAGAUAAUGAGGGAAUGAUUACCUACCAUCAGAUCAACAAUUAGUAUACACUGAAAUUACAGCGACUGUGAGACUGACCUAAGUAUGAAUAUACAACUUUUGAGCUUCCACUGCCUUUGGAGGGAUCACCAGUCUAAAGGAAACUGUAGCGGUUUUAAAACAUUUACAACAUAAUUCUGAUGUUCAUGAACAUUUGAGAUUGUGAAGUUAAACGUAAUACAGCUGUUUCAGAAGACUGCAGGCACCAGUUGCUAACUGAGAAAUGAAUGACAUCCAAAUACCUCAACAUCUACCACAACUUCGAAUAAUUACCAGGGAAAAGGGGGAGCCAGGGGCAGGCAGAAGCAGUGGGUGGAAACCCACCAGAGAAUACCGUUUGCCACUAGGAGGUACGGUGUCUAUACAAAUGCUGGUGCAAUAAAGUCACUGGAUCCCAUGGAGGAUUACCUUCAUCAUCUGUUCUCUCAAACCUUGCUCCAGAAAAAGGGGACUUUUACUUGCCUAAGUGAUGUUUUCCAUUAUUUCAUUCCUUAUCCACAACACCUAACAUCUUCCAUCUCUCCCUUUCUUCCUUCAGAGUACAGGUUGUCCCAAUCUCAGAGUUCAGAGAAAAAUAAACAAAAACUUUCUAUGUUGUAAAAUAAAGAAAUAAAUAAAUGAAUGAAUAAAACAAUCUUGUGUUGUUGCUACCCCUGCUUCAAGCCCUCCAAUGGCGUCCUGUUUCUCUGAGUACAAUUCCAAGUCCUUGCUAUGGCCUGCCUGCCAACAAGUUUGCCUCAUCAAAUCUUCUCGAGGCUGACCUCUCACCACUGUACCCACUGCUUACUACAGCCUAGCUUCUCCUUGAGCAGAGCAAGUACUCUCUCUACUCCCUAAUCCUCUUCCCUUGCCAUUCCCCAUCUGCAACAUUUUCCCUUCAAAUAUCUCA